AGAAAAGGCCCCCUUUUAAUUGAAUUCCUAAUUACAUUUAUAAAAGAUCAAUGUCUUAAGUGAAUAAUAGUGUUUUAACCAAGUAUUGUCCCCAAGACUUUUGACCUACUGAUACAAUUCUAGCAUUUAUGACAUCCGUGUGGAGCAUUCAAAAGCAUUCCAAUGGAACCUCUCAGGUCAUCCAUCAGUUACUUUGAAAACAGGCAGAGCUCUGCCUUGUGACAUCUGGCCAAUCUCCGGACCACUUUGAUCUUAUAAUCAGGAACCCAUCUACCACAGCAGCCACAGCCUCCAUCACAGCUAGAUGCUGUUUCGAACAACCAUUCUGCAAUAAUAACAUUUCAGAUCCUUUCUACAGGAAGCCAUAAGUAUAGUAUACCCAUGUUUGCCUUCCAAGUAACCUCAGGUUGAGGUUGCAGGCCUCAUACGGAGGGAACCCAUUUGGGGGUCUGAGAA